rnacentral:sRNA from 1 species
GCUGGGCAUGGUGGUGCACGCCUGUAAUCCCAGUGGCUCAGGAGGCUGAGACAGGAAGAUCUUGAGUUCAAAGCCAGCCUCAGCAAUGACAAGGUGCUAAGCAACUCAGUUGAGACCCUGUCUCUA